rnacentral:rRNA from 1 species
ACGAGGCACUACGGUGCUGAAGCAACAAAUGCCCUGCUUCCAGGAAAAGCCUCUAAGCAUCAGGUAACAUCAAAUCGUACCCCAAACCGACACAGGUGGUCAGGUAGAGAAUACCAAGGCGCUUGAGAGAACUCGGGUGAAGGAACUAGGCAAAAUGGUGCCGUAACUUCGGGAGAAGGCACGCUGACAUGUAGGUGAAGUGAUUUACUCAUGGAGCUGAAGUCAGUCGAAGAUACCAGCUGGCUGCAACUGUUUAUUAAAAACACAGCACUGUGCAAACACGAAAGUGGACGUAUACGGUGUGACGCCUGCCCGGUGCCGGAAGGUUAAUUGAUGGGGUCAGCGCAAGCGAAGCUCCUGAUCGAAGCCCCGGUAAACGGCGGCCGUAACUAUAACGGUCCUAAGGUAGCGAAAUUCCUUGUCGGGUAAGUUCCGACCUGCACGAAUGGCGUAAUGAUGGCCAGGCUGUCUCCACCCGAGACUCAGUGAAAUUGAACUCGCUGUGAAGAUGCAGUGUACCCGCGGCAAGACGGAAAGACCCCGUGAACCUUUACUAUAGCUUGACACUGAACAUUGAGCCUUGAUGUGUAGGAUAGGUGGGAGGCUUUGAAGUGUGGACGCCAGUCUGCAUGGAGCCGGCCUUGAAAUACCACCCUUUAAUGUUUGAUGUUCUAACGUGGACCCGUGAUCCGGGUUGCGGACAGUGUCUGGUGGGUAGUUUGACUGGGGCGGUCUCCUCCUAAAGAGUAACGGAGGAGCACGAAGGUUGGCUAAUCCUGGUCGGACAUCAGGAGGUUAGUGCAAUGGCAUAAGCCAGCUUGACUGCGAGCGUGACGGCGCGAGCAGGUGCGAAAGCAGGUCAUAGUGAUCCGGUGGUUCUGAAUGGAAGGGCCAUCGCUCAACGGAUAAAAGGUACUCCGGGGAUAACAGGCUGAUACCGCCCAAGAGUUCAUAUCGACGGCGGUGUUUGGCACCUCGAUGUCGGCUCAUCACAUCCUGGGGCUGAAGUAGGUCCCAAGGGUAUGGCUGUUCGCCAUUUAAAGUGGUACGCGAGCUGGGUUUAGAACGUCGUGAGACAGUUCGGUCCCUAUCUGCCGUGGGCGCUGGAGAACUGAGGGGGGCUGCUCCUAGUACGAGAGGACCGGAGUGGACGCAUCACUGGUGUUCGGGUUGUCAUGCCAAUGGCACUGCCCGGUAGCUAAAUGCGGAAGAGAUAAGUGCUGAAAGCAUCUAAGCACGAAACUUGCCCCGAGAUGAGUUCUCCCUGAGACUUUAGGUCUCCUGAAGGAACGUUGAAGACGACGACGUUGAUAGGCCGGGUGUGUAAGCGCAGCGAUGCGUUGAGCUAACCGGUACUAAUGAACCGUGAGGCUUAACC